GCCGCGUGUGCCCCAAUAGAUACACUCUAAUGCUACCGCCGAUUCACAUGUAUAUAUAUUCCAAUCUUAUCCAUCAGCCUCGCCCAUUUUGCUCCAAUUUGAGAGAGAAUUGAAAUUGGUGAAUCUGAUAUGGCUAUGCAUGCUGUUCAAUACGACUCUUACGGCAGCGGCUCCGCUGGAUUGAAGCAUGUGGAAGUUCCUGUACCUACUCCGAAGAAGGAUGAAGUCUUGGUAAAAGUGGAGGCUACAAGCAUAAAUCCUUUGACUGGAAAAUUCAGAAGGGCAUGCUUCGUCCACUUCUUCCUACCAAGUUUCCUUUUAUUCCUUCUAUCGACGUGGGAGGAGAGGUUGUAGAGGUAGGAUCUAAUGUAAAAAGAUUCAAGGCUGGUGACAAGGUUGUGGCUAUGCUCAAUGCCCUGAAUGGAGGUGGAUCGGCUGAAUAUGCGGUGGCUAAUGAGAGUUUGACUGUUCCAAGACUCGCUGAAGUAUCAGCUGCAGAAGGUGCAGGUCUUAUUGUUGCAGGUCUUACAGCUCUUCAGGCCCUUGUCAAUCAUUCUGAGGUAAAGCUCAAUGGAACUGGACCCCGGAAGAACAUUCUAUUUACGGCUGCCUCAGGUGGCGUCGGUCACUAUGCUGUUCAAUUGGCAAAACUUGGUAACACUCAUGUUACUGCCACCUGUGGAGUGCGCAACAUUGAUCUUGUGAAGAGCUUAGGAGCAGAUGAAGUUCUUGAUUACAAUACCCCAGAGGGAGCAGCUCUUAAGAGUCCGUCAGGCCAAAAAUAUGAUGCAGUGAUUCACUGCACAACAGGCAUCCCUUGGUCUACCUUUGAGCCUAAUUUAAGUUCAAGCGGAAAUGUGAUAGAUAUAACUCCUGCAGUUUGCGCCAUGUGGACCUUUGCGGUAAAGAAAUUGACCUUCUCAAAGAAACAGUUGGUGCCACUGGUUUUAAUUCUGAAGAAGGAGAAUCUGGAAUUGAUUGUUGGGCUUGUGAAGGAAGGGAAACUGAAAACAGUAAUCGACUCAAAAUUUCCUCUGAGCAAGGCUGAAGAUGCUUGGAGCAAGAGUAUUGAUGGACAUGCCACCGGAAAGAUUAUUGUGGAGCCAUAGAGCAGUGUUCUCCCAAAUUAUGUAAUAAAAUGUUUGCGAGGCUUGUGCAGUAUGACCAAAUAAAUAUAUUCAGCUGUAACAACUUCUAUUUGCCUCCUAUGUAUCAUCUUACCUGAUAAUUGUGUUUACUACGUGGCAUUUUACCUGUAUUACAAAGUAUAUACGUGCAUACUUGUCUAA